AGCUCUAAGUGAUUCUGCCUUGACAAGUAAUAUGUCUUCUGUCUCUUACAAUUUGGGCUGAGGCCAGCAGGAAGAAAACAACACUGAGCCUUCCACCCAUUAAUAUUUCACUUCCCACUAGCCAUCUUAGCUAUAUCUGCAUUGUUCAAAUGUGUGCUUUUAUUUUUAUUCACUGUUUUCUUUGUAGCUACGUAUUUUAUUGUAAGACCUCCCUCCAUCCUUCUUAGAAAUAGAUUAA
rnacentral:lncRNA from 1 species